rnacentral:rRNA from 1 species
AGCCACAGCCAUAUCACCCUGCAGCCCAAGACUGGUUGUCCACUGAAGCUAAGCAGGGUUGAGCCUGGUCAGUACCUGGAUGGGAGACCUCCUGGGAAAACUAGGUUGCUGUUC